UCAGGAAUAAAGUAUAUGGAGUAAUGAUAGACCAUGACUACAACUAUAUGUGUGCGAAGUUUCAAUCAUUUUCGUAAACACAAUUUUGAGAUAACGACUAACUACAAGCUACACCAUGUUAAAUCAAGAAACUUGCGAAAAACCUCAAAACACAGUGGAGAAUCAGAUAUCUCAUAGACCUGAUCGAUGU